AGGACGAACGCUGGCGGCGUGCUUAACACAUGCAAGUGGAGCGACGAACCUGGCUUCGGCCAGGGGCAGAGCCGCGAACGGGUGAGUAACACGUGGGUAACGUGCCCCAAUGACUGGGACAACCCGGGGAAACCCGGGCUAAUACCGGAUGUGCUCCUUCCACAUCAGUGGAUUGAGUAAAGGUAGCUUCGGCUUCCGCAUUGGGAUCGGCCCGCGGCGCAUUAGCUUGUUGGUGGGGUAAUGGCCUACCAAGGCUUCGAUGCGUAGCUGGUCUGAGAGGACGAUCAGCCACACUGGGACUGAGACACGGCCCAGACUCCUACGGGAGGCAGCAGUGGGGAAUCUUCGGCAAUGGGGGAAACCCUGACCGAGCGACACUGCUUGGAGGAUGAAGGUUUUCGGAUCGUAAACUCCUGAACGAGGGACGAAAAAUGACGGUACCUCGCUAAUAGCACCGGCUAACUCCGUGCCAGCAGCCGC
rnacentral:rRNA from 1 species